GAUAAACGCUGGCGGCGCACAUAAGACAUGCAAGUUGAACGGACUUAAUCGAAAUAUUUAUAUUUUGAAGCGGUUAGUGGCGGACUGGUGAGUAACGCGUAAGGAACCUGCCUAUUAGAGGGGAAUAACAGUGAGAAAUCAUUGCUAAUACCGCAUAUGCCAUAGAUAUCACAUGAUAACAGUGGGAAAGGAGCAAUCCGCUAAUAGAUGGCCUUGCGUCUGAUUAGAUAGUUGGUGGGGUAACGGCCUACCAAGUCGACGAUCAGUAGCCGGACUGAGAGGAUGAACGGCAAAAUUGGGACUGAGAGACGGAACAGAAAACUACGGGAGGCAGCAGACGGGAAUAGUGCGAAAUGGAGGAAACUAUGAAGCAGUGACGCAGCGUAUAGGAAGAAGGUUUUCGGAUUGUAAACUAUUGUCGUUAGGGAAGAGAAAGGACAGUACCUAAGGAGGAAGCUCCGGCUAACUACGUG
rnacentral:rRNA from 1 species